UUAAUUCAUGGAAUACAGCUGUUAAAGUUUGUGUUGUUGGGAAGACUCAACAGUUAUUGGUUGACUCAAUCUUAAUUAAAGCCAUCCUUCAUAAAACUGCCUAUCACUGAUUUGAUCAGUACAUGAACCCUGCACUGCACUUCAAAUUACUCAUUUUCAUUCAUCCACUCAACUCCCUUUCCUACCAUGGCACUAGAAUUGGUCGGUGGUGCUCUUCUUUCUGCUUUCCUUCAGGUUGCGUUUGAGAAGCUUGCUUCUCCUCAAGUUCGGGACUUCUUUCGUGGAAGAAAGCUUGAUCAAAAGCUGCUCAACAACUUGGAAAUCAAGCUGAACUCCAUACAGGCUCUGGCUGAGGAUGCAGAACUAAAGCAGUUCAGAGAUCCACGUGUCAGGGACUGGCUUCUUAAGGUCAAAGAUGCUCUGUUUGACGCAGAGGAUCUCUUGGAUGAAAUACAACAUGAGAUCUCCACAUGCCAAGUCGAAGCUGAAUCUCAAACCUGCUCUGGCUGCACUUGCAAGGUACCAAAUUUCUUCAAAUCUUCUCCUGUUAGUUCCAAGGAAAUUAAAUCAAGGAUGAAACAGGUCCUUGGGGACCUUGAAAAUCUUGCUAGCCAAAGUGGCUAUCUAGAUUUGAAAAAUGCAAGUGGUGUUGGAUCAGGAUUUGGUGGUGCAGUAUCACUGCAUUCAGAAUCAACAUCUUUGGUUGUUGAAAGUGUUAUUUAUGGCAGAGAUGAUGACAAAGAAAUGAUCUUUAAUUGGCUCACAUCUGACAUUGACAAUUGUAACAAACUAUCAAUACUUUCUAUUGUGGGCAUGGGUGGGUUGGGUAAGACCACACUUGCCCAACAUGUAUUCAAUGACCCAAGGAUAGAAAAUAAAUUUGAUAUCAAAGCUUGGGUCUGUGUUUCAGAUGAAUUUGAUGUUUUCAAUGUAACAAGAACAAUUCUUGAGGCAGUCACUAAAUCAACUGAUGAUAGUAGAAACCGAGAAAUGGUUCAGGGAAGGUUGAGAGAAAAAUUGACAGGAAAGAGAUUUUUUCUUGUUUUGGAUGAUGUUUGGAACAGAAAUCAAAAGGAAUGGAAAGAUUUGCAAACUCCUCUUAAUGAUGGGGCUUCAGGGAGUAAAAUUGUUAUCACUACACGUGACAAGAAAGUUGCUUCAGUAGUGGGAUCAAAUAAAACACAUUGCUUAGAGCUGUUGCAAGAUGAUCAUUGCUGGCGAUUGUUCACUAAACAUGCAUUCCGAGAUGAUAGUCAUCAACCAAAUCCAGACUUCAAGGAGAUUGGUACGAAGAUAGUAGAAAAAUGUAAAGGACUGCCUCUGGCCUUGACAACAAUUGGAAGUCUAUUACACCAAAAAUCAUCUAUUUCAGAAUGGGAAGGCAUAUUGAAAAGCGAGAUAUGGGAAUUUUCAGAAGAGGAUAGCUCUAUUGUCCCUGCUUUAGCACUAAGCUAUCACCACCUCCCUUCCCGUAUCAAGAGAUGUUUUGCUUAUUGCGCCUUAUUCCCCAAAGAUUACAGGUUUGACAAGGAGGGUUUAAUUCAGCUGUGGAUGGCGGAAAACUUUUUACAAUGUCCUCAACAGAGUAGGAGUCCAGAAGAAGUCGGUGAACAAUACUUCAACGAUCUUUUGUCAAGGUCCUUCUUUCAACAAUCAAGCACCAUAGAGAGAACACCUUUUGUCAUGCAUGACCUUCUCAAUGAUUUGGCAAAAUAUGUUUGUAGGGACAUCUGUUUCAGGUUGGAAGAUGAUCAAGCAAAAAAUAUACCGAAGACAACCCGUCAUUUUUCAGUUGCAAGCGAUCACGUUAAAUGCUUUGAUGGGUUUCGAACUUUAUACAAUGCUGAAAGGUUACGCACAUUUAUGUCAUUAAGUGAGGAAAUGAGUUUUCGUAACUACAAUCGUUGGCAUUGCAAGAUGUCAACACGUGAAUUAUUCUCCAAGUUUAAGUUCUUACGUGUCUUAUCUCUGUCUGGUUAUUCUAACCUAACAGAGUUGCCUGACUCUGUAGGUAAUCUUAAAUAUCUCCAUUCCUUAGACCUCUCAAAUACUGACAUAGAAAAAUUACCUGAAUCAACAUGUUCACUCUACAACUUGCAAAUACUGAAGCUAAAUGGUUGUAGACAUUUGAAGGAGCUGCCCUCAAAUUUGCAUAAACUCACUGAUUUGCAUCGCCUUGAAUUAAUAGAUACUGGAGUGAGAAAGGUACCAGCACAUUUGGGAAAACUGAAGUAUCUUCAAGUAUUAAUGAGUUCGUUUAAUGUUGGCAAAAGUAGGGAGUUCAGUAUCCAGCAGCUAGGAGAACUCAAUCUUCAUGGAAGUCUAUCAAUUCAGAACCUGCAGAAUUUUGAGAAUCCCUCAGAUGCAUUGGCUGUGGAUUUAAAAAAUAAAACACACCUUGUCGAGCUAGAGUUAAAAUGGGAUUCAGACUGGAACCAAAAUCGAGAAAGGGAUGAAAUUGUAAUCGAGAAUCUACAGCCUUCCAAACACUUGGAGAAGUUGACGAUGAGGAACUAUGGGGGUAAACAAUUUCCUAGUUGGUUAUCGGAUAAUUCAUCAUGUAAUGUGGUGUCCUUAACCUUGGAGAACUGUCAAUCUUGCCAACGUUUGCCUCCCCUUGGACUUUUGCCAUUCCUGAAGGAGCUUUCAAUUAGAUGGCUUGAUGGGAUUGUGAGUAUUAAUGCUGAUUUUUUCGGGAGUAGCUCUUGUUCAUUUACAUCCUUGGAAUCUUUGGAGUUCUCCGAUAUGAAGGAAUGGGAAGAAUGGGAAUGUAAAGGUGUGACAGGUGCUUUUCCACGUCUUCAACGUCUUUUUAUAGUGCGUUGUCCCAAGCUGAAAGGUUUGCCUCCCCUUGGACUUUUGCCAUUUCUGAAGGAGCUUUUAAUUGAAAGGCUUGAUGGGAUUGUGAGUAUUAAUGCUGAUUUUUUCGGGAGUAGCUCUUGUUCAUUUACAUCCUUGGAAUCUUUGAAGUUCUUCGAUAUGAAGGAAUGGGAAGAAUGGGAAUGUAAAGGUGUGACAGGUGCUUUUCCACGUCUUCAACGUCUUUCUAUAUAUUAUUGUCCCAAGCUGAAAGGUUUGCCUCCCCUUGGACUUUUGCCAUUUUUGAAGGAGCUUUCAAUUGACAACCUUGAUGGGAUUGUGAGUAUUAAUGCUGAUUUUUUCGGGAGUAGCUCUUGUUCAUUUACAUCCUUGGAAUCUUUGAAGUUCUCCGAUAUGAAGGAAUGGGAAGAAUGGGAAUGUAAAGGUGUGACAGGUGCUUUUCCACGUCUUCAACGUCUUUCUAUAUAUCGUUGUCCCAAGCUGAAAGGGCACUUGCCAGAACAACUAUGUCAUUUAAAUGAUCUAACGAUUUCUGGGUGCGACUCUCUAACGACCAUUCCGCUAGAUAUCUUCCCAAUACUCAGGGAGCUUGAUAUCAGGAAGUGUCCUAAUCUACAGAGGAUUUCACAGGGGCAGACUCAUAAUCAUCUCCAGCGUCUGAGUAUCAAAGAGUGCCCCCAAUGAGAAUCAUUGCCUGAAGGAAUGCAUGUCCUCCUUCCAUCUCUUGAUUAUCUGGGCAUAAUUCGUUGUCCAAAAGUUGAAAUGUUUCCCGAAGGAGGUUUGCCAUCAAAUUUAAAAAAUAUGCAUCUCUAUGGUAGUUACAAACUUAUGUCCUCAUUGAAAAGUGCCUUGGGAGGCAAUCACUCUCUAGAAACCUUACGGAUUGGAGGAGUGGAUGUUGAGUGUCUUCCUGACGAAGGUGUACUGCCACACUCUCUUGUUUAUCUAAAGAUCUAUGACUGUGGAGAUCUAAAAAGACUGGACUACAAAGGUCUCUGCCACCUCUCCUCUCUCAAGAAAUUGGUUCUUGAAGAGUGCCCCAGGCUCCAAUGCUUACCAGAGGAGGGUCUGCCCAAAUCCAUUUCAUCUUUGGUAAUUUACCAUUGUCCGUUGCUCGAAGAACGUUGCUGGGAACCCGAAGGCGAAGACUGGCCAAAGAUUGCUCACUUUUGUCCGUUGCUCAAUCAACGUUGCCGGGAACCCGGAGGCGAAGACUGGCCAAAGAUUGCUGACAUUGAAAACGUGUUAUUUUUAUAAGGUAGUGAGGUUGAUCAUAAAGAAUAAUGGUGAAAGAUGUAGAUGCUUCUCUAUUGCCUGCAAUUUACUAAUUAAUUGUUUUCUAAACUUAUUUUUGCUUUCUGCUUGCUGGACGCCGCCGCUCUGUUAUUUAUUAUUCGACAAAAUAAUUGUUUAAUAUAGUUUCAAGUGAUUGAUUCUGCUUGGAUAAAAUAUUUCACUCUUGAAUUUUA